GACGAACGCUGGCGGCGUGCUUAACACAUGCAAGUCGAACGAUGAAGCCGGAGCUUGCUCCGGUGGAUUAGUGGCGAACGGGUGAGUAACACGUGAGCAAUCUGCCCUUGACUCUGGGAUAACUGCGGGAAACUGUAGCUAAUACCGGAUACGACAACUUGGGGCAUCCCAGGGUGUGGCAAGAAUUUCGGUCAAGGAUGGGCUCGCGGCCUAUCAGCUAGUUGGUGAGGUAAUGGCUCACCAAGGCGACGACGGGUAGCCGGCCUGAGAGGGUGGCCGGCCACACUGGAACUGAGACACGGUCCAGACUCCUACGGGAGGCAGCAGUGGGGAAUAUUGCACAAUGGGCGAAAGCCUGAUGCAGCAACGCCGCGUGAGGGAUGAAGGCCUUCGGGUUGUAAACCUCUUUUAGCAGGGAAGAAGCGAAAGUGACGGUACCUGCAGAAAAAGCACCGGCUAACUACGUGCCAGCCGCCGCCGUAA
rnacentral:rRNA from 1 species